CGAUCGUAUUGGAUAAGUGAUGGUGACUGACACUUGUAACAGCCAAUCAGCAGUAAGUGUGACCUAUUUUAGAGCAGGUUGGCUCUGUUGGGUCAUGCGUCACCUCCGGCCCCGCCUUUUUUUUGGGUUUUGUUUUUUUUUUAUGUUGACUUGUGUUUCAGGUAUGUGUUAGCAGUUAGCUCUUCGUUUGUCUCUUUCAUAAUGUUGUGGACUAAUCGUUUGUUAUUUCAUUCUAGCCUGUCUUUUCCUUUGUUUUCUGUCGAUGGCCAUGAGUUUAAUGACUGCUGUUUAUUCAGGUAAGCGAUUAAUACUGUUAGAAAAUGGGUUGGCAUGGACUGAGCGCGCAGUUUGAAUAAUAGGCAGUUCCCUGUACCCUAGCUUGGUAUUGGUAUUACUGAGGAUGCCGAAUCCCAAUUUGUGAAUGCGUGCGAGCAUACUUUUUCCGGUUUGGUAAGUUUCUAUUAUGUGGUGGUUAAAGGGGAAUAUUAGUGUGUGAUUUGCAAGCGGUAAUGGUGUUAAAUGCCCAUAUCUUUUUGUAGGAUUCUCCCUUUCGUCCUGGGCGAUUAAAUGUGCCGUUCCUGACGUUCUUUUCCUGUUGCGCCGUGAACUUUCGGUUACUCGGAAGUCUUAGUUGAUACGGAGAUCUACUACUGCUGUUUGCUACCCGCUAUCUGCUACCCGCUACCCGCUACCUGCUACCCGCUAUCUGCUACCUGCUAUCUACUACUGAUCCCUGAGCUGGGGUUCCACGGGUGUAGGAUCUUGAGGUGGUGGUGUCACUUCAUCAUUUGCUGUGGACACGUUGGUGUGUGCAGUGAGUGUGUCGGUGUGUUCGGGGGUGCGUAAGUGUGCUUUUGGAUAAAUUCAGCACUGGUGAUCACUCCCGUGUGUGACCUCAGCCCUUUACCAUUGGGGGGUGCUGCCGGCAGUAGGUGAUGAGGAUUCAAUGUGACUUUUAAAUGGUGAAACAAUUGUGAAAAUAAAUUUUGUACUUUCAUACUUUA